CCACUGAAAAAUGAGGUGUUGAAUUUUUUAUUCCAUUACUAUCCUACAAAUGUCAGGUACUACACACUCAAGCACGUUUAUAUUACAAUACAAUAUAGUGCUCCAUUUAAAACACAGCCACAGGUCAGAACACACAGUACUGUUUACAGUUCAGAUACAGACGCUCAAUUUGGCUAUGAGUCAGAGUUCACACACAAACUAAUGGUUUCAUCAACGAGUCACACUUUGUCCACACCUCCUCUCAAGGUGACCGCACUGCAAUCUGAUCUCAGCCCACGUGAGCCUUUCGAUCUCAUCUGUUCUCAAGCGCAGCUACUAUGACCAACCGGCGGGUGCAUUUCAUCAGCAUACCGGUAUCUGAACCAGAACAGGAAUGUUCCGGAGGAUUCAGAGAUACACAUCAGCUUCUGUGUUUUAUUCAGCAACCCACGCAGAGAGCCCGGGAGAGGCCCAGCUCUGCAAGCCUGCGUAUGUGAGAGAAGCAGUUUCCAGGGGGAUGGAGAAGAACAAUUAAAGCCACUUCUCAGGCUGGACGGUGUUUAGGAAGUGUAAAUGUGUAUGAGCAGAGAGGAGACUGGAGCAGGCUGACAUGGCAAGACAAUCAAGCCCAGUGUGUUUCACUCUCAGUACCAGGCAGCAUGCUGCACAUAAAGGCUAUCUGUCCCUGCAGGGCUUCUGUCUGUCAGCCUUCCUAGCUGCUAAUUUUGUGACCUUACCAGAAUAAAGAGAGAAAGAAAAGCCGGAAAAAAGCCAUCUUUCACUCUGUUUCUUGCUCACUCUUUCAAGCUCUCCCCCUCUCACUGUGUCUCAUGCACACUGCCGUGCUGAGAUCGAGAAAUCCCCCUCCAGGCGAAAUUGACUUCACACGAUCACUUCUACGUCUGGUGACUGACAUGAGCUCUCUAAAAAUAUCUCCUUCACUGGCAAUGGAUUGCUUUCGAGCUGCACCUCCUGUCAGAACACACUCAAAUACAGGCUGAAAUGUGUAUGUGUGCUUGUGUGGUGGGGGAGGAGUGGCAAGAAUGAGAGGAGGAACGAAAAAACUGACAGCAGUGGGAAAACAGUGCACCUUCUGAACAUGGAGUUAUCAAGCAGCACCAAGCAGGGGUUGAGACACAGGAUCAGACAAGCCCGAGGCUGCCUCACAGAGUACACACACACACACACAAAACAAAAAUCUCUCACUCAUACCUCUCAAACACAUACCGAAGGAGGUGGGAUUGAAGGAAAUGACGUACACACAGCAGAAAACUGAGGUUGGAGUUCUCCAAGUUCCCAGACACAACAUAUUUGACAGUUACACAAAGCGUAACUGUUAGGGAAGUACACACACUCUGCACCUGGGUCAGAGGAAAUGACUCUCCAUACCAGGUGGUGGCAGUAGUCUGUAUUGGUGGCAGUAGUCUGUAAUUAAAAAAAAAAAAAGAAAAAGAAAAACAGAAGUCCAGAGAUUGUCCACCUACCAGUAUUAUUUUAUAAUAUUUAAUGUUGUAGUUGUGUGGGACAUAACCAUAAUGAAAUCAUCAUAACGAAAGUGAGUCCCCUCUAACAUUGUGUAUGCUAGUGUGUGUGCUCCUGGUCGUGAAUUAUUUGGAUAAUCUUACACUAUUGCCAAGAAUUUGAUUUGAGACAUUAAGUAUGCUUUAAAUAAGUAAUAAAACUGAAAUUUAUUCUUUUCCAAUAAGAGCUUGUCCUUAAGUGUUUUAUUUCUCUUGUAUCACAGCAA